AUUGAACGCUGGCGGCAGGCCUAACACAUGCAAGUCGAGCGAGCGGCGGACGGGUGAGUAAUGUAUGGGGAUCUGCCUGAUGGAGGGGGAUCACUACUGGAAACGGUAGCUAAUCCCGCAUACCAUCAGAUGACCCCAUAUGGGAUUAGCUUGUAGGUGAGGUAACGGCGCACCUAGGCGACGAUCCCUAGCUGGUCUGAGAGGAUGAUCAGCCAACAUGGGACUGAGACACGGCCCAGACUCCUACGGGAGGCAGCAGGGGGGAAUAUUUGACAAGGGGCGCAAGCCUGAUGGAGCCAUGCCGCGUGUAUGAAGAAGGCCUUCGGGUUGUAAAGUACUUUCAGUCGGGAGGCGUUACCGACAGAAGAAGGAACGGUUAACUCCGGGCCAGCAGCCGCGGUAAUAC
rnacentral:rRNA from 1 species